rnacentral:rRNA from 1 species
UACGGAGGGGGCGAGCGUUAUUCGGAAUUAUUGGGCGUAAAGGGCGCGUAGGCGGCUCUUUAAGUCAAAGGUGAAAUCCCUCGGCUCAACUGAGGAACUGCCUUUGAAACUGAGGAGCUUGAGUCCGGGAGGGGGUAGCGGAAUUCCCAGUGUAGCGGUGAAAUGCGUAGAUAUUCGGAAGAACACCAGUGGCGAAGGCGGCUCACUGGACCGGCAUUGACGCUGAGGUGCGAAAGCGUGGGGAGCAAACAGG